rnacentral:rRNA from 1 species
GACGAACGCUGGCGGCGUGCUUAACACAUGCAAGUCGAACGGAAAGGCCCUGCUUGCAGGGUACUCGAGUGGCGAACGGGUGAGUAACACGUGGGUGAUCUGCCCUGCACUUCGGGAUAAGCCUGGGAAACUGGGUCUAAUACCGGAUAGGAGCCAUUUUUAGUGUGAUGGUUGGAAAGUUUUUUCGGUGUAGGAUGAGCUCGCGGCCUAUCAGCUUGUUGGUGGGGUAUUGGCCUACCAAGGCGGCGACGGGUAGCCGGCCUGAGAGGGUGGACGGCCACAUUGGGACUGAGAUACGGCCCAGACUCCUACGGGAGGCAGCAGUGGGGAAUAUUGCACAAUGGGCGCAAGCCUGAUGCAGCGACGCCGCGUGGGGGAUGACGGCCUUCGGGUUGUAAACUCCUUUCGCUAGGGACGAAGCUUUUUGUGACGGUACCUAGAUAAGAAGCACCGGCUAACUACGUG